AAGUCGUAACAAGGUUUCCGUAGGUGAACCUGCGGAAGGAUCAUUAGCGAAGUUCGGAACGCAUGUUCGAUGUUGAUGCUGCCCAGCAAUGGGAUGUGCUCGCUCGGAUGUGUGUCCCUUCUCUAUCCACCCCAUUGUGAACCAAGUGUGUGAGCCGAAGAGAAAUCGGACGCUCGCAUGCAAACCUUUAACAUACCCCAAUGAAGUAUCAGAAUGUACCUUGCGUUAACUCGCACAAAUAUAACUUUCAACAACGGAUCUCUUGGCUCUC
rnacentral:misc_RNA from 1 species